GAAAUGCGAUAAGUAAUGUGAAUUGCAGAAUUCAGUGAAUCAUCGAAUCUUUGAACGCACCUUGCGCUCCUUGGUAUUCCUUGGAGCAUACCUGUUUGAGUAUCAUGAAAUCUUCAAAGUAAAUCUUUUGUUAACUCAAUUGGUUUCUACUUUGGUAUUGGAGGUCUUUGCAGCUUCACACCUGCUCCUCUUUGUUCAUUAGCUGGAUCUCAGUGUUAUGCUUGGUUCCACUCGGCGUGAUAAGUUAUCUAUCGCUGAGGACACUGUAAAAGGUGGCCAAGGUAAAUGCAGAUGAACCGCAUCUAAUAGUCCAUUGACUUGGACAAUACUUUUAUGAUCUGAUCUCAAAUCAGGUAGGACUACCCGCUGAACUUAAGC
rnacentral:misc_RNA from 1 species